UGUUAGCACAUAUUCUACCCCUCCCCAGUACUUGCCUCCUCGUGGGAAUACAGACAUCAGUCUGCACACUUUACAAUCUGUAAACCAACACUGACACAUGAAGACCGUCAUCUACCAGUCUGCACAUCAGUAUUCUGCUUUGCAUUGUUCAUGUGUUUCGACAAUUUUAUAAUCUGCAUGUAUCACAGCACCAUAUGAAAUGAUUUCACUGUCCCCUAAAAUCACCUCUGAUCCACCUAUUUAUCCUUCCCUCCUCAGUAACCACCACAGCUAUUUCUGAAAUAUAUCAAAGCCUUCCACACAGCCUUGGAAGAGAAAAGGAGAAAUAGAAGUUGGAAGUCUUCAUUCAUCUUGAAUGGUGGAAUGCUCACGCUACAAAUUCUGAGGCGCAGAGAAAAUGCAAAUCCUCUAUUUUGACCAUAAUUACUCAGCCUGACAAAAGAACUUCUUACUCCAUGGUCAGGAUGACUGAAUGUACUCUAUAGCAUAGUCUUCAUCCUAUUUGGUAAUCCUCACCCAUAUCUGUUGUCAGGAUGUCCCCUGGAUGACAGUGAUACAUCAGAGAUGAUAUAAAGAGGAUCCCAAAUCCAUGUGUACUCACUAGCCCCCAAGUAAACUAAACUGAUUGGCC